rnacentral:rRNA from 1 species
UACGGGGGGGGCAAGCGUUGUUCGGAAUUACUGGGCGUAAAGGGCUCGUAGGUGGCCAACUAAGUCAGACGUGAAAUCCCUCGGCUUAACCGGGGAACUGCGUCUGAUACUGGGUGGCUUGAGUUUGGGAGAGGGACGCGGAAUUCCAGGUGUAGCGGUGAAAUGCGUAGAUAUCUGGAGGAACACCGGUGGCGAAGGCGGCGUCCUGGACCAACACUGACACUGAGGAGCGAAAGCCAGGGGAGCAAACAGG